rnacentral:rRNA from 1 species
CCUCACUGCUAUCGAGAUGGGACUAAGGUAUGCUAGUCGAACGACCAGAACUAUGUCUGGAAGUGGCACACUGCUCAGUAACACGUAGCUAACCUACCCUUAGGACGUGGAUACCCCCGAGAAAUUGGGGUUAAUCCGCGAUAGAUGUAAUGUCCUGGAAUGGUAUUACGUCUAAAGGUAUUUCAUACAUGUUUGAAAUAUGCCUAAGGAUGGGGCUGCGGCCGAUCAGGCUGUUGGUGAGGUAAUGGCUCACCAAACCUUUGACCGGUACGGGCCAUGAGAGUGGUAGCCCGGAGAUGGACACUGAGACAAGGGUCCAGGCCCUAAGGGGCGCAGCAACCGCGAAACCUCCACAAUGCACUCACGUGCGAUGGGGCUAUCUCGAGUGCCACCUGAUGAAGGUGGCUUUUCCUUGGUAUUCAAAGCCUUGGGAAUAAGAGGGGGGCAAGACUGGUGUCAGCCGCCGCGGUAACACCAGCCCCUCGAGUGGUGGGGAUGAUUAUUUGGCCUAAAGCGUCCGUAGCCGGCCGUGUAAGUCUCCCGUUAAAUCCAGCGUCUCAAGCGUUGGACUGCGGGAGAUACUGUACGGCUAGAGAGUGGGAGAGGUCAGCGGUAUUCUGGGGGUAGGGGCGAAAUCCUUUGAUCCCCGGAGGACCACCAGUGGCGAAGGCUGCUGACUAGAACACGUCUGACGGUCAGGGACGAAAGCUGGGGUAGCGAACCGGAUUAGAUACCCUGGUAGUCCACGCAGUAAACGUUGUUCACUAGGUGUAGCGGGUAUUGACCCCUGCUGUGCCGCAGCUAACGCAUUAAGUGAACCGCCUGGGAAGUACGGCCGCAAGGCUAAAACUCAAAGGAAUUGACGGGGGCCCGCACAAGCGGUGGAGCAUGUGGUUUAAUUCGACGCAACGCGAAGAACCUUACCUAGGUUUGACAUCUCGGGAAUUUCCAUGAAAGUGGAAAGUGCCCUUCGGGGAGCCCGAAGACAGGUGCUGCAUGGCUGUCGUCAGCUCGUGUCGUGAGAUGUUGGGUUAAGUCCCGCAACGAGCGCAACCCUUAUCUUUAGUUACCAGCACCUCGGGUGGGGACUCUAAAGAUACUGCCCCGGUUAACGGGGAGGAAGGUGGGGAUGACGUCAAGUCCUCAUGGCCUUUAUGCCUAGGGCUACACACGUGCUACAAUGGGCGGAACAAUGGGUCGCGAUAUC